AGUCUCUUCGGAGAUGAGUAAAGCGGCGCACGGGUGAGUAACACGUGGGCAAUCUGCCCUCGAGUCUGGGAUAACCCGGGGAAACUCGGGCUAAUACCGGAUACGGCUGCGGGGUCUUCGGGCCCUGUGGAGAAAGAUGGCCUCUUCUUGAAAGCCAUCUCUCGAGGAUGAGCCCGCGUCCUAUUAGCUAGUUGGUGAGGUAAUGGCUCACCAAGGCAAAGAUGGGUAGCUGGUCUGAGAGGAUGACCAGCCACACUGGAACUGAGACACGGUCCAGACUCCUACGGGAGGCAGCAGUAGGGAAUUUUGGGCAAUGGGCGAAAGCCUGACCCAGCAACGCCGCGUGUGGGAUGAAGGCCCUCGGG
rnacentral:rRNA from 1 species